rnacentral:rRNA from 1 species
GACGAACGCUGGCGGCGUGCUUAACACAUGCAAGUCGAACGAGAUCCAAUGUGUAGCAAUACACAGGAAGAUCUAGUGGCGAACGGGUGAGGAACACGUGAGAAACGUACCCCAGACUUUGGGAUAACAGUCCGAAAGGACUGCUAAUACCAAAUAACGUCGGAAGUCCGCAUGGACAUCUGACGAAAGGGAUUCCGGUUUGGGAGCGUCUCGCGGACCUAUCAGCUAGUUGGAGGGGUAACGGCCCACCAAGGCAACGACGGGUAGCUGGUCUGAGAGGAUGGUCAGCCACACUGGGACUGAGACACGGCCCAGACUCCUACGGGAGGCAGCAGUGGGGAAUCUUGCGCAAUGGGCGAAAGCCUGACGCAGCAACGCCGCGUGCGGGAAGAAGGCUUUCGGGCCGUAAACCGCUUUCAGUAGGAACGAAACUGACGGUACCUACAGAAGAAGGAGCGGCCAACUAUGUG